AAAACUUCUGCAGCAUGACUGUUUCCCAGCACUGACCUGGCCCUUGUAUAUCAAAGUCCCACACAGUCCGCCAAGUAUACAAGGAUGCAGUGGAAGGCGAGGGAAAUGGAUGAGCGUCUACUUCAGCCAGUCAGGCAGCCCAGCUCUCUUGGUCCCCGACAAUAAGGCAACCACAUGCACAAACUUCACAGUGUGCUGUGCGUAUCCCAAGCAGAAAUCAACAAGAUGG